rnacentral:rRNA from 1 species
UUGGGAAUAUGCCUUAUGGUGGGGGACAACAGUUGGAAACGACUGCUAAUACCGCAUGAUGUCUACGGACCAAAGUGGGGGACCUUCGGGCCUCACGCCAUAAGAUUAGCCCAAGUGGGAUUAGCUAGUUGGUGAGGUAAUGGCUCACCAAGGCGACGAUCCCUAGCUGGUUUGAGAGGAUGAUCAGCCACACUGGGACUGAGACACGGCCCAGACUCCUACGGGAGGCAGCAGUGGGGAAUAUUGCACAAUGGGCGCAAGCCUGAUGCAGCCAUGCCGCGUGUGUGAAGAAGGCCUUCGGGUUGUAAAGCACUUUCAGUAAGGAGGAAAGGUUAAGUGUUAAUAGCACUUAGCUGUGACGUUACUUACAGAAGAAGCACCGGCUAACUCCGUGCCAGCAGCCGCGGUAAUACGGAGGGUGCGAGCGUUAAUCGGAAUUACUGGGCGUAAAGCGUACGCAGGCGGUUUGUUAAGCGAGAUGUGAAAGCCCCGGGCUCAACCUGGGAACUGCAUUUCGAACUGGCAAACUAGAGUGUGAUAGAGGGUGGUAGAAUUUCAGGUGUAGCGGUGAAAUGCGUAGAGAUCUGAAGGAAUACCGAUGGCGAAGGCAGCCACCUGGGUCAACACUGACGCUCA